UACGUAGGGGGCAAGCGUUGUCCGGAUUUAUUGGGCGUAAAGAGCGUGUAGGCGGCCUGAAAGGUCAGCUGUGAAAACUCGAGGCUCAACCUCGAGACGUCGGUUGAAACCAUCUGGCUAGAGUCCGGAAGAGGAGUGUGGAAUUCCCGGUGUAGCGGUGAAAUGCGCAGAUAUCGGGAGGAACACCAAUUGCGAAGGCAGCUCGCUGGGACGUUACUGACGCUGAGACGCGAAAGCGUGGGGAGCAAACAGG
rnacentral:rRNA from 1 species